rnacentral:misc_RNA from 1 species
GAAAUGCGAUAAGUAGUGUGAAUUGCAGAAUUCAGUGAAUCAUCGAAUCUUUGAACGCACAUUGCGCCCCUUGGUAUUCCAUGGGGCAUGCCUGUUCGAGCGUCAUCUACACCCUCAAGCACUGCUUGGUGUUGGGCGUCUGUCCCGCCUUUGCGCGUGGACUCGCCCCAAAGUCAUUGGCAGCGGUCUCUGGCACCUCAACGCGCAGUACAAUGCGUCCGUCGGGGUGCCGUGGGCGCGACCACAAGCUAUUUACCGUCUUUGACCUCGGAUCAGGUAGGGAUACCCGCUGAACUUAA